rnacentral:lncRNA from 1 species
AUGGCAUCUAGCUCAAUGUCAGCAUCUAGCUCAUGGAGUGUUAAGGACAAUAAAGCCUUUGAAAGAGCUCUAGCUGUUUAUGAUAAAGAUGCGCCAGAUCGUUGGUACAAUGUAGCUCAUGCUGUUGGUGGCAAAACUCCGGAGGAAGUUAGGAAACAUUAUGAACUCCUUGUUGAAGAUGUUAAGCGGAUUGAGUCGGGCAAAGUUCCGUACCCAAAUUACAAGAAAAAUUCAGUCUCUCAACAAGAGAAAAGGAUGAGGAACCUGAGCCUUCAUUGA